rnacentral:rRNA from 1 species
GAUGAACGCUGGCGGCGUGCCUAAUACAUGCAAGUCGAGCGAAAAGACGAGGAGCUUGCUCCUCUGACGUUAGCGGCGGACGGGUGAGUAACACGUGGAUAACCUACCUAUAAGACUUGGAUAACUUCGGGAAACCGGAGCUAAUACCGGAUAAUAUAUUGAACCGCAUGGUUCAAUAGUGAAAGACGGGUUUGCUGUCACUUAUACCUGGAUCCGCGGCGCAUUAGCUAGUUGGUAAGGUAACGGCUUACCAAGGCAACGAUGGGUAGCCGACCUGAGAGGGUGAUCCGCCACACUGGAACUGAGACACGGUCCAGACUCCUACGGGAGGCAGCAGUAGGGAAUCUUCCGAAAUGGGCGAAAGCCUGACGGAGCAACGCCGCGUGAGUGAUGAAGGUCUUCGGAUCGUAAAACUCUGUUAUUAGGGAAGAACAAAUGUGUAAGUAACUAUGCACGUCGUGACGGUACCUAAUCAGAAAGCCACGGCUAACUACGUG